rnacentral:sRNA from 1 species
UAGAAGAGUACUCGAGGCCACAUUAAUAAGGUUAAGUGCGGCGCUUAAUUACACUAUAAUUGUAACAGUUACAAACAGUACUACAGUACUCAACAACGCUGGGAAGGGCGGCAAACACUCCCAUCCUGAUCUACUGACAAACCAUUUGCGAGACCAAAUGGUCAAGCCAUGCCGUAGAACUACCCGAGCGCGUACCGAGUCGUGGUCCAUCCCCAAAGCGGAGUGAGCUUUACCAAGGAUUGACGGAGAAUGAGAUUGAUGCGAGCUACAAGCGUCAUGCUGGUGAAGGUAGAUAAAGGCGGCUGGUAAGAUGUGUGCCGCUCAUACAUCCAGCAGUCGCUGAGGUGGAUGGAAGGAUGGAAGAGGCACCCUUCCCGGACUCCCGUCUAGUUUCAUCAAUCUGUCUUGGGCGGAUUGUAGCCUUGUUCCUCCGCAUUCAAGCGUAUUCUUUCCUAAGCUAGUGACCACAUUUGUAUUGCACCUUCUAUCUAGAGUGCUUCCUCUUCUAGUAAUCCCUUAGACCCGUGGGGGAAGGAUGCAUUUGUCUCUCAG